UUCAGGACGAACGCUGGCGGCGUGCCUAAUACAUGCAAGUCGAGCGGACAGAUGGGAGCUUGCUCCCUGAUGUUAGCGGCGGACGGGUGAGUAACACGUGGGUAACCUGCCUGUAAGACUGGGAUAACUCCGGGAAACCGGGGCUAAUACCGGAUGGUUGUUUGAACCGCAUGGUUCAAACAUAAAAGGUGGCUUCGGCUACCACUUACAGAUGGACCCGCGGCGCAUUAGCUAGUUGGUGAGGUAACGGCUCACCAAGGCGACGAUGCGUAGCCGACCUGAGAGGGUGAUCGGCCACACUGGGACUGAGACACGGCCCAGACUCCUACGGGAGGCAGCAGUAGGGAAUCUUCCGCAAUGGACGAAAGUCUGACGGAGCAACGCCGCGUGAGUGAUGAAGGUUUUCGGAUCGUAAAGCUCUGUUGUUAGGGAAGAACAAGUACCGUUCGAAUAGGGCGGUACCUUGACGGUACCUAACCAGAAAGCCACGGCUAACUACGUGCCAGCAGCCGCGGUAAUACGUAGGUGGCAAGCGUUGUCCGGAAUUAUUGGGCGUAAAGGGCUCGCAGGCGGUUUCUUAAGUCUGAUGUGAAAGCCCCCGGCUCAACCGGGGAGGGUCAUUGGAAACUGGGGAACUUGAGUGCAGAAGAGGAGAGUGGAAUUCCACGUGUAGCGGUGAAAUGCGUAGAGAUGUGGAGGAACACCAGUGGCGAAGGCGACUCUCUGGUCUGUAACUGACGCUGAGGAGCGGAAGCGUGGGGAGCGAACAGGAUUAGAUACCCUGGUAGUCCACGCCGUAAACGAUGAGUGCUAAGUGUUAGGGGGUUUCCGCCCCUUAGUGCUGCAGCUAACGCAUUAAGCACUCCGCCUGGGGAGUACGGUCGCAAGACUGAAACUCAAAGGAAUUGACGGGGGCCCGCACAAGCGGUGGAGCAUGUGGUUUAAUUCGAAGCAACGCGAAGAACCUUACCAGGUCUUGACAUCCUCUGACAAUCCUAGAGAUAGGACGUCCCCUUCGGGGGCAGAGUGACAGGUGGUGCAUGGUUGUCGUCAGCUCGUGUCGUGAGAUGUUGGGUUAAGUCCCGCAACGAGCGCAACCCUUGAUCUUAGUUGCCAGCAUUCAGUUGGGCACUCUAAGGUGACUGCCGGUGACAAACCGGAGGAAGGUGGGGAUGACGUCAAAUCAUCAUGCCCCUUAUGACCUGGGCUACACACGUGCUACAAUGGACAGAACAAAGGGCAGCGAAACCGCGAGGUUAAGCCAAUCCCACAAAUCUGUUCUCAGUUCGGAUCGCAGUCUGCAACUCGACUGCGUGAAGCUGGAAUCGCUAGUAAUCGCGGAUCAGCAUGCCGCGGUGAAUACGUUCAAAG
rnacentral:rRNA from 1 species